rnacentral:lncRNA from 1 species
GUGAUGUCUGUCAGCCCCACCUUGCCGUAGCCCUCCAUACACACCGGUCUUUGAACAGAAUGUUUUCCACUGAAAGUGCUUCCUCUUGCCUGUCAGCCAGUCUUUGAUCCUCAUCCUGUUCCUACAAAGGCACCUCCUCCAGGAAGCCUGGUGCUUAGCCAGGGGCUUGCAGACCAGAGUCAGAACUGUUGCGCUGUGUGAAGGGCUCUGAACAGGGACCAGGGGCCCUGGGAUUCAGCUGUGCUCUGGGUCUGCCUCACUGCAUGUCCUUGGGAAAUGAAAUGGCUGACAAGGGGCUGACGGAAGCAUGUGCUCGGAGCCUGUCCUGGCUUCUCUCAUCCCAGCUAACCUGUCGGGGCGGCCGCCUUCUUCUGAGGAGCUCCCACAGCCUCAUCCUCAGCACCCAGCCUCCUCCCUCCUGUAGCCCCCGGAGCCAGCGCUUCCCACCCUCAUCCCCCGAGCCUGGGGCUGCUGAUCCCACCAAGACCCAGGCCUGGGUUGCAGCUCGCUUUCACACCCAGAUGCAGGAGGGGCGCGGGAGCCCCGCCUGGGGCUGGGCCGGGGGCCAGCUCGACAUCUGGCAUCCAUUACCAACGGUGGCUGCGGAGUGGACUCCUCUGCCUGUCACUCACCUAUCUGCCGGGGUGACAGAGGAGAUGGGAAAAAGGUUUUCACAGCUGGAAUACAUUGAGGGGAAGUGGAGGGGGAGGGUGGAAAAGAGACAAAAAACAACAUUGAACUCAAGAUGGAAAAAAGACAGUAUUAGAGGAGGUUGCAAGAUCCCUGCUUCAACCAGCUCAGGAGGCAAACCACGCAGAGAGAGUCCACGCAGGGUGUCGGUGCAGUGCGCUCUGGAGUGAAAGGAGCCGAGUAACCCUGUUCCCGACUCUCCACCUGCCUCUGUCUUCCUGAGGCGGCAAUUUGGAGGUGAUGGUAAUAAUAACACCUCGCAUUUGUAGAGCACUCUCUUUAGCAUUUCAAUUCAGUUCUGCAAAUAUUUACUGUGCCGACCAUGUGAGGAACCUUCACAUCAAUUACUUCUCCUAACUGGCAAACCCCUCCCCUCAGCCCUGGCACAUGCACACAUCUACACACAAACCCGUGCAUACACGCAUGCACCCAUGAGUGCAUGCAUGCACAUGUACACACAUGCAC